rnacentral:rRNA from 1 species
UACGUAGGGUGCGAGCGUUGUCCGGAAUUAUUGGGCGUAAAGGGCUCGUAGGCGGUCUGUCGCGUCGAAAGUGAAAACUCAGGGCUUAACCCUGAGCCUGCUUCCGAUACGGGCAGACUGGAGGUAUGCAGGGGAGAACGGAAUUCCUGGUGUAGCGGUGAAAUGCGCAGAUAUCAGGAGGAACACCGGUGGCGAAGGCGGUUCUCUGGGCAUUACCUGACGCUGAGGAGCGAAAGUGUGGGGAGCGAACAGG